rnacentral:rRNA from 1 species
AGUGAACGCUGGCGGCAGGCCUAACACAUGCAAGUCGAGCGGAUGAAGGGAGCUUGCUCCUGGAUUCAGCGGCGGACGGGUGAGUAAUGCCUAGGAAUCUGCCUGGUAGUGGGGGAUAACGUCCGGAAACGGGCGCUAAUACCGCAUACGUCCUGAGGGAGAAAGUGGGGGAUCUUCGGACCUCACGCUAUCAGAUGAGCCUAGGUCGGAUUAGCUAGUUGGUGGGGUAAAGGCCUACCAAGGCGACGAUCCGUAACUGGUCUGAGAGGAUGAUCAGUCACACUGGAACUGAGACACGGUCCAGACUCCUACGGGAGGCAGCAGUGGGGAAUAUUGGACAAUGGGCGAAAGCCUGAUCCAGCCAUGCCGCGUGUGUGAAGAAGGUCUUCGGAUUGUAAAGCCCUUUAAGUUGGGAGGAAGGGCAGUAAGUUAAUACCUUGCUGUUUUGACGUUACCAACAGAAUAAGCACCGGCUAACUUCGUG